GAUGAAGAACGUAGCGAAAUGCGAUACGUAGUGUGAAUUGCAGAAUUCAGUGAAUCAUCGAAUCUUUGAACGCACAUUGCACCUCUCGGUAUUCCGGGAGGUAUGCCUGUUCGAGCGUCAUUUGUACCCUCAAGCUCUGCUUGGUGUUGGGUGUUUGUUCCGCCUCUGUGUGUGAACUCGCCUAAAAACAAUUGGCAGCCGGCGUACUUGUUUCGGAGCGCAGCACAUUUUGCGAUCCAGAUCAACGUACAGCGGCAUCCAAGAAGCCUUAUUUAACGCUCUUGACCUCGGAUCAGGUAGGGAUACCCGCUGAACUUAAGCAUAUCAAUAAGCGGAGGA
rnacentral:misc_RNA from 1 species